rnacentral:lncRNA from 1 species
UUAGAGCUUCACUUAAUUUGGUGGUCUGGAUAAUAGAAAAGCCAUCAAAUGAGGAAUCAAACUACCUGAAUUCUAGUCCUGGUUUUAUAAUUAUCUGUAUCAUGCCAUCUCUUGAAUUCUCAAGUUCCUCACCUGGAAUAGGAUUGAACAAACUGAAAUAGAAAUCAAGAAAGGUACAGACAGGGUUUUGCCAUGUUGGCCAGGCUGGUCUUGAACUCCUGGUCUCAAGUGAUCCACCUGCUUCGGCUUCCCAAAGUAGUGGGAUUACACAGGUAAGCCACCAUGCCUGGUCAGCUCAUGUUCUUUCAUACUUAACUCUUCCCCUUACCUCACUCCCUGAUAGCCACUAAUCUACUUCCUGC